rnacentral:rRNA from 1 species
CUAAGCACAUGCCUUAAUACGGUGAAGCCGCGAAUAGCUCAUUACAACAGCCAUCGUUUACUAGAAAAUAGUUUCCUACUCGGAUAACUGUGGCAAUUCUAGAGCUAAUACAUGCGAAAAGCUCAGACUGAAAGGAAUGAGCGCAUUUAUUAGAAUAAAAACCAAUCGGGUCUAAAAGCCCGCUGUUUGGUGAAUCUGAAUAACUUUGUUGAUCGCACGGUCUUAGUACCGGCGACGUAUCUUUCAAGUGUCUGCCUUAUCAACUUUCGAUGGUAGGUUAUACGCCUACCAUGGUAGUAACGGGUAACGGAGAAUAAGGGUUCGACUCCGGAGAGGGAGCCUGAGAAACGGCUACCACAUCCAAGGAAGGCAGCAGGCGCGCAAAUUACCCACUUCCAGAACGGAGAGGUAGUGACGAAAAAUAACGAGACAGUCCUCUCUGAGGUCUGUCAUCGGAAUGGGUACAAUUUAAAUCCUUUAACGAGGAUCUAUUGGAGGGCAAGUCUGGUGCCAGCAGCCGCGGUAAUUCCAGCUCCAAUAGCGUAUAUUAAAGUUGUUGCGGUUAAAACGCUCGUAGUUGAAUCUGCGGCCUGGGAGAAUGGACCCCCGAAAGGGUGGUAACUGUUACUCCUAGCCUAAAUUUUUAGUCUACUCUACGGUGCCCUUAACCGGGUGCUUAGAGUGACUGGAACGUUUACUUUGAAAAAAUUAGAGUGCUUAAAGCAGGCGAAUUUGCCUGAAUAAGGUGCAUGGAAUAAUGGAAUAGGACCUCGGUUCUAUUUUGUUGGUUUUCGGAGCCUGAGGUAAUGAU